rnacentral:rRNA from 1 species
ACCGCAUAGCCAUGAGCACCGCAUGGAGCUCAUGCCAAAUAUCCUUCAGGGGAUAGCGCAGGGAUGGACCUAUGGCGCAUUAGCUAGUUGGCGGGGCAACGGCCCACCAAGGCAACGAUGCGUAGCCGGCCUGAGAGGGCGGACGGCCACAUUGGGACUGAGACACGGCCCAGACUCCUACGGGAGGCAGCAGUAGGGAAUUUUCGGCAAUGGGGGAAACCCUGACCGAGCAACGCCGCGUGAGCGAAGAAGGCCUUCGGGUCGUAAAGCUCUGUUGUAAAGGAAGAACGUCGCAUGCAGGAAAUGGUGUGCGAGUGACGGUACUUUACCAGAAAGCCACGGCUAACUACGUGCCAGCAGCCGCGGUAAUACGUAGGCGGCGAGCGUUAUCCGGAAUCAUUGGGCGUAAAGAGGGAGCAGGCGGCCGCAAGGGUCUGUGGUGAAAGACCGAAGCUAAACUUCGGUAAGCCAUGGAAACCGGGCGGCUAGAGUGCGGAAGAGGAUCGUGGAAUUCCAUGUGUAGCGGUGAAAUGCGUAGAUAUAUGGAGGAACACCAGUGGCGAAGGCGACGGUCUGGGCCGCAACUGACGCUCAUUCCCGAAAGCGUGGGGAGCAAAUAGGAUUAGAUACCCUAGUAG